GUGAUGGUCUCUUUCUUCUUGCACCUAAUAGUUAUGGCCAACAAUAAUUGUUGCAUUUGGUGACUCAAAAAUUGUCUCUUUCUCUUUGUUCCGAAUCUUUUACUCAUAUCAUAUGUACACGCUUAUGCAUUAUAUUACUCCAAUCUAUUAAUUAAAAUGCAUGAUAACAUAAAAAGAAAAAGAUCCCAAUCUUAAUCUUAAUUAAUUAGGUAAUCAAUUUGACUAAUCAUGUGUUGUAUCUGCCCGUCUAAGAGCAAACUCCCAACGCAAUUUUUAUUAUAAAAAAGACAAUAAUGAUGUUCUGGUUAAUUACCAAACAAGGGCACACAAAUUAACUGUAAAUUUUAAGCUCGAUCGAGCUGUUAUUUAGAGGAAUAAUGAAUCGAAUAUAUGAUUAGGAACUGAGUUGUUUGUUUAAGUUCAGCAAUACACCAGACAUGAUCAACUGUUUCAUGCAUGCAUCACUCACAAAGAAGAAGAUGAUUCAAAGUUAGAAGGAAGCCUACAACCUGUCACUCUCACACCAACCA
rnacentral:lncRNA from 1 species